UGGGGAAUAUUGGACAAUGGGCGCAAGCCUGAUCCAGCAAUGCCGCGUGUGUGAAGAAGGCCUUCGGGUUGUAAAGCACUUUUAUCAGGAGCGAAACGCUGUCGGCUAAUACCCGGCGGAACUGACGGUACCUGAGGAAUAAGCACCGGCUAACUUCGUGCCAGCAGCCGCGGUAAUACGAAGGGUGCAAGCGUUAAUCGGAAUUACUGGGCGUAAAGCGUGCGUAGGCGGUUUCUUAAGUCUGCUGUGAAAUCCCCGGGCUCAACCUGGGAAUGGCAGUGGAUACUGGGAGGCUAGAGUGUGUCAGAGGGUGGUGGAAUUCCCGGUGUAGCGGUGAAAUGCGUAGAGAUCGGGAGGAACAUCAGUGGCGAAGGCGGCCACCUGGGACAACACUGACGCUGAGGCACGAAAGCGUGGGGAGCAAACAGGAUUAGAUACCCUGGUAGUCCACGCCCUAAACGAUGCGAACUGGAUGUUGGUCUCAACUCGGAGAUCAGUGUCGAAGCUAACGCGUUAAGUUCGCCGCCCUGGGGAGUACGGUCGCAAGACUGAAACUCAAAUGAAUUGAC
rnacentral:rRNA from 1 species